GACGAACGCUGGCGGCGUGCUUAACACAUGCAAGUCGAACGGAAAGGCCCUGCUUGCAGGGUGCUCGAGUGGCGAACGGGUGAGUAACACGUGGGUGUUCUGCCCCUUACUUUGGGAUAAGCCUGGGAAACUGGGUCUAAUACUGGAUAGGACCAUGCCGUCGGCGGUGUGGUGGUAAGAUUAGUUUCGGUGAGGGAUGGGCUCGCGGCCUAUCAGCUUGUUGGUGGGGUAGUGGCCCACCGAGGCGUCGAGGGGUAGCCGGCGUGAGAGGGGGGACGGCCAGAGGGGGAAGGAGAUGCGGCGAAGACUCCGGGGGGAGGCAGCGGGGGGGAAUAGAGCAAGGGGGGCGGAAGGGUGAUGCAGCCACGCCGCGUGGGGGAGGGGGGUCGUGGGGUUGUAAACCGUUCGGGCAUGAGAAGAAGCGUGAGUGACGGGAAGGGGUAAAGAAGCACCGGCUAACUACGGG
rnacentral:rRNA from 1 species